rnacentral:lncRNA from 1 species
CAGCCCCACACCUCAGAUGCUCUCAGCUCCCCAGGGAUGAAUCACAAAAAUGAAAGGCAAAUAAUCUGUGGGAAAACAAUGAACUAAAUCAGUACAAAUAAAAGAUAUAAUUCCAGGAAGUUUUUGCUGGUUUGGCUUUUCCAUUGUAAGGGAUGUGUGCAAGCCUGGUGCAUUAGUCUGCUGUUGGGAAGGAACAUGUAGCUACAGAAAUGUCUGACAGAUGGGAAGUGCCCGGGGGAUCUGAGUUCUCUUUGGAUUUUCCCCUCCCAUGACCCUCAAGGAGCACAGGUGACAAGACCCGUGUGUUCAAGCACUCUACAUAACAUCUGUGAGUGGAGGAGAAGAGGAGAGGGUGGAUUUCACACCAUUCCUUGAGCAGUGCUUUGUCACCCUUGUCAAAGGGCAUUUUGACAAAUUUGUUUCAUGCUAUAAGUUACCAAAUGGGAUGUAGUUCCCAUUUGGUAGCAAAAUAAGAAAAAUGUGGGUUUUCUGCACGCGAUUUCUCUAGUUGCAGGCCUUGCCUUUCCUUCCAAAAGCUGGCUGCUAAAUCUUUCUUUACUCAUGCUAACACCAUUUAUGAAACGAGGGUUUGGUG